rnacentral:rRNA from 1 species
ACUCAAAUGAAUUGACGGGGACCCGCACAAGCGGUGGAUGAUGUGGUUUAAUUUGACGAUACGCGGAGAACCUUACCGAGGCUUGACAUCCUAGGAAUCCUUGAGAAAUCAGGGAGUGCCUUCGGGAGCCUAGUGACAGGUGCUGCAUGGCCGUCGUCAGCUCGUGUUGUGAAAUGUUGGGUUAAGUCCCGCAACGAGCGCAACCCUUAUCGUAUGUUGUAUUUUUCAUGCGAGACUGCCCGGGCCAACCGGGAGGAAGGUGGGGAUGACGUCAGGUCAGCAUGGCCCUUACGCCUCGGGCUACUCACGUCAUACAAUGGCCGGUACAACGCGUUGCGAACCCGCGAGGGGGAGCUAAUCGCACCAAAACCGGUCUCAGUUCGGAUUGGAGGCUGCAACUCGCCUCCAUGAAGUCGGAAUCGCUAGUAAACGUGGGUCAGCAUACCACGUUGAAUACGUUCCCGGGUCUUGUACACACCGCCCGU